rnacentral:tRNA from 1 species
GAAGGUUUAGCUCAGUGGUAGAGCACGUACUUAGCGUGCAUGAGGUCUAGGUUCAAUCCCCAGUUCCUCCA